ACGGCGAGUGAAGCGGGACUAGCUCAGGAUGUGAAUCUGCGCUUUUAUGGCGCCGAAUUGUGGUCUGUAGACUUUGACGUUAUCUGCCGGGCCAAGUUCCUUGGAAAAGGACAGCUGAGAGGGUGAAACUCCCGUCCGCCUGGUAGAAUGAGUCUUUGUCAACGAGUCGAGUUGUUUGGGAUUGCAGCUCUAAUUUGGUGGUAAAUUCCAUCUAAAGCUAAAUAUUGGUGGGAGACCGAUAGCGUACAAGUACCGUGAGGGAAAGAUGCAAAGAACUUUGAAAAGAGAGUUAAAGAGUACCUGAAAUUGCUGAAACGGAAGCGAAGGAAACCAGUGUUUGUUGGUUCAUAUUUCCCUGGCCACUUGUGGUUUGGGCGCUGUGAGCUUGCGUGGGUUUGGGUUGGUUGAUCCCUUUGGAAGAGCGCAGUCAGAGUUGAUGUCUGUUGCUAGC
rnacentral:rRNA from 1 species